UACGGGGGGAGCAAGCGUUGUUCGGGUUUACUGGGCGUAAAGGGCGCGUAGGCGGUCAGCACAAGUCAGUUGUGAAAUCUCCGGGCUUAACUCGGAAAGGUCAACUGAUACUGUGCGACUAGAGUGCGGAAGGGGCAACUGGAAUUCUCGGUGUAGCGGUGAAAUGCGUAGAUAUCGAGAGGAACACCUGCGGCGAAGGCGGGUUGCUGGGCCGACACUGACGCUGAUGCGCGAAAGCCAGGGGAGCGAACGGG
rnacentral:rRNA from 1 species